UACGUAGGGGGCUAGCGUUGUCCGGAUUUAUUGGGCGUAAAGAGCGUGUAGGCGGCCAAAUAGGUCGGUUGUGAAAACUGGAGGCUUAACCUCCAGACGUCGACCGAAACCAUCUGGCUAGAGUCCGGAAGAGGAGAGUGGAAUUCCUGGUGUAGCGGUGAAAUGCGCAGAUAUCAGGAAGAACACCCGUGGCGAAGGCGGCUCUCUGGGACGGUACUGACGCUGAGACGCGAAAGCGUGGGGAGCGAACAGG
rnacentral:rRNA from 1 species